rnacentral:rRNA from 1 species
GUGUCAGCAGCCGCGGUAAGACGAACCGUGCGAACGUUAUUCGGAAUCACUGGGCUUAAAGCGCGUGUAGGCGGGCCAGCACGUCGGGCGCUGAAAUCCCCCGGCUCAACCGGGGAACGGGCACCGAUACGACUGGCCUGGAGGGGAGUAGGGGGACCUGGAACUUCCGGUGGAGCGGUGAAAUGCGUUGAGAUCGGAAGGAACGCCCGUGGCGAAAGCGAGGUCCUGGGCUCUUACUGACGCUGAGACGCGAAAGCCAGGGGAGCGAACGGGAUUAGAUACCCCGGUAGUCC